AGUAAAAUCAGCUAAUUAAGCUCUCGGGCCCAUACCCCGAACAUGUUGGUUAAAAUCCUUCUUUUACUA
rnacentral:tRNA from 9 species